UACGUAGGGUGCGAGCGUUAAUCGGAAUUACUGGGCGUAAAGCGUGCGCAGGCGGUUUUGUAAGCCAGAUGUGAAAUCCCCGGGCUCAACCUGGGAACUGCAUUUUGGACUACAAGGCUAGAGUGUGUCAGAGGGGGGUAGAAUUCCACGUGUAGCAGUGAAAUGCGUAGAGAUGUGGAGGAACACCGAUGGCGAAGGCAGCCCCCUGGGAUGAGAUUGACGCUCAGGCACGAAAGCGUGGGGAGCAAACAGG
rnacentral:rRNA from 1 species